UGCCAGCAGCCGCGGUAAUACAGAGAUGGCAACCGUUGUUCGGAAUCACUGGGCUUAAAGCGCACGUAGGCGGAAUAGUGGGUCGAUUGUGAAAUCCUCUGGCUUACCCAGAGAAGGUCAGUCGAAACUGCUAUUCUAGAGUACAGAAGGGGAAAGUGGAACUCCUAGUGGAGCGGUGAAAUGCGUUGAUAUUAGGAGGAACGCCGGUGGCGAAAGCGGCUCACUGGCUCGAUACUGACGCUGAGGUGCGAAAGUGUGGGGAGCAAACAGGAUUAGAUA
rnacentral:rRNA from 1 species